rnacentral:rRNA from 1 species
GAUGAACGCUGGCGGCGUGCUUAACACAUGCAAGUCGAACGGAAAGGCUCCUGCUUGCAGGGGUACUCGAGUGGCGAACGGGUGAGUAACACGUGGGUGAUCUGCCCUGCACUUCGGGAUAAGCCUGGGAAACUGGGUCUAAUACCGGAUAGGACGAUGGUUUGGAUGCCAUUGUGGAAAGUUUUUCGGUGUGGGAUGAGCUCGCGGCCUAUCAGCUUGUUGGUGGGGUAAUGGCCUACCAAGGCGUCGACGAGUAGCCGGCCUGAGAGGGUGUACGGCCACAUUGGGACUGAGAUACGGCCCAGACUCCUACGGGAGGCAGCAGUGGGGAAUAUUGCACAAUGGGCGCAAGCCUGAUGCAGCGACGCCGCGUGGGGGAUGACGGCCUUCGGGUUGUAAACUCCUUUCGCUAGGGACGAAGCGCAAGUGACGGUACCUGGAGAAGAAGCACCGGCUAACUACGUG